rnacentral:rRNA from 1 species
UACGAAGGGGGCUAGCGUUGUUCGGAAUUACUGGGCGUAAAGCGCGUGUAGGCGGCCUUCUAAGUCUGGUGUGAAAGCCCGGGGCUCAACCCCGGAAGUGCAUUGGAUACUGGGAGGCUGGAGUACCGGAGAGGAGGGUGGAAUUCCUGGUGUAGCGGUGAAAUGCGUAGAUAUCAGGAGGAACACCGGUGGCGAAGGCGGCCCUCUGGACGGAUACUGACGCUGAGACGCGAAAGCGUGGGGAGCAAACAGG